rnacentral:hammerhead_ribozyme from 1 species
AUCCAGCUAACGAGUUUUAAAUGGAACGAAACGCGCGUCUCGGAU